UACGUAGGGUGCAAGCGUUAUCCGGAAUUAUUGGGCGUAAAGAGCUCGUAGGCGGUUUGUCGCGUCUGCUGUGAAAUCCUCAGGCUCAACCUGGGGCUUGCAGUGGGUACGGGCAGACUAGAGUGCGGUAGGGGUGACUGGAAUUCCUGGUGUAGCGGUGGAAUGCGGCAGAUAUCAGGAGGAACACCGAUGGCGAAGGCAGGUCUCUGGGCAUUAACUGACGCUGAGGAGCGAAAGCAUGGGGAGCGAACAGG
rnacentral:rRNA from 1 species